rnacentral:rRNA from 1 species
AAAUUGAAGAGUUUGAUCAUGGCUCAGAUUGAACGCUGGCGGCAGGCCUAACACAUGCAAGUCGAACGGUAACAGGAAGCAGCUUGCUGCUUCGCUGACGAGUGGCGGACGGGUGAGUAAUGUCUGGGAAACUGCCUGAUGGAGGGGGAUAACUACUGGAAACGGUAGCUAAUACCGCAUAACGUUGCAAGACCAAAGAGGGGGACCUUCGGGCCUCUUGCCAUCGGA